UUCAAUAGAUUACUGAAUAGUAAGUGGAGAAUUCAUACGACAAGAAUAAUUAUUCAACCAAACAAAAAUAAAUUACAGCUGCCUUAAUAAUCUACUCCUACCAAGUUGAAAUGAUACUUUACUUCUGCAGAGCUUUUUUGUGGAAUGCGCAGGAGAACUAUACCUCAUUAUAUUAAGAAGAAAAGGUCUAAAAUAGACCCUAUACAUGACGCCAAAAAAAUGGCAACCAUAGAAAAAAAUACAUAAUUCUGCAGAGCUUAAGGGGGUGUUUGAAUGCAUUAGAACUAAUAGUUAGUUGGCUAAAAAUUGUUAAUGGAAUUAGUUAGCUAACGAAUAACUACUCAACUAUUAACUAAUUUACCAAAAAUAGCUAAUAGCUGAACUAUUAGCUAGGGUGUUUGAAUGUCUCAACUAAUUUUAGUCACUAACUCUUUAACUCUAGUGCAUUCAAACACCCCCUAAGUACUUGAAUGAAAAUUAUAAAGACAAAAAUUAACCUAAUUCAAUAAUUUAGAGAGAAAAAAUGCACAUCGUCAGAAACAUACCUUUUAAAACCAGGCACUGUGCUGUUCAAUCAACAAUUGUUAAAGAGUGCUUUCAAAUUCCAUGUUGGGAAAUUGGCCUGAAUUUGAAAGGAAACGAAGUCAUCAAGACAACAAUAUUUCAUAGUUUUUUUUUACGAAAAGCAAUAUUUAAUAGUCAUCAGUCACAUCACAUAUAAAUUCAAUAUUAAAAAUAAAGUGCACAUCAACAAGAUUGCUUAACCAAUAAAGUGCCCACCACCAACCAUAUCACAAAAAUUCUACAGAAAGAGGAGAUAGAGGAGGGGAUGAACGUAAAGAUCUGACAGGUUCCUCUCGAUAGAAGCAAUGGAGCAGCCAGAAUGUGACAGAAUACCAGAUAAGAAUUCAACUAUCUGUGUCUAAAAUAGGAUUUAUAAAUCAAGCUAUCCCUAUCAUACUUGAUUACUACAACAAAUCCAAAUACGUAUUAAACAAUACAAGAGCCACAAGUGACAAAAGAUGCCCAGUUCAAGAACUAUGUGUCUUACCGUACCUUGGAUCGUUCUCCUAGGAUAGGAAGAGCAGAAUUGGCCACUCCACUACUAGUCAGGAUGAAAAUAGAGGAAGAGAUCGGUCUAGGAGGCUGUUUGAAGUUUGAACUAAAUGUAGGGCAAUCCACCUGUACAAACAACCAACAGAAUUGGGCAGACAUCAUAUCCAAGAUCCCACUCCUCCAUAAAUACGUCAUCCAAUUAACCGAUCAUUAAACAGAAGCCAUUUUUUCCUAGCCAAGCUGUCUAGAGUCUAGACCACACUGCUCCAGCAUCAGCCUUUCCAGCUCAAAACUGCAAGGACUUGAAUGAUGAGUAAAAGCGCGAGAUAGUACCAGCCAAAGUCCCCACAAAAAUUACGCAAAAGAAGAAAAAAAACGGAACAAGGGGACCAGCGGCAUUAAUCUUAGAAUGUGCACAUUUUCCAUAGCAAUUUGUCGUCCUCGAAAAGACAUCACUAACCGGAGCAACCGAAUUCAGAAAGACCAAAUCCAAUUUUUAACGCGUAUUACUCCAUGCAGAAUCAUUUGUUAAACUACACAUACAUCAUGCCAGCAGACAGCGCAGUUGCUACGAAAACAAACUGAAAUGAAAAAUAUUAAAUAUAUAUGGAGACGAGAUUAUUUGACAUCAAAACUUCAUCUUUCUUAGUCAAAUCUACUCUUUUCAAACGAAGAACAGACACAGAACAACCCGAAGCGGCGUUCUAGUGAACCCCAGCAACCAAACCACAUCGCGGAACGCAAGGAAACCAGGCGAAUCAAAAGCGAUCACGCAAAGCUCAUCGGACCGGAAGGAGCAAGACCAGAGAUCAUACCUUUUAGAGAAGGCAGAGGCCCGAGGCCGCAGAGGAAAACGAAGCAGCGACGGGGUUGAGGACGAGAGGUAGCGGACAGCGGUGGCGGAGGCAACGUGGUUCGCUGGGCAGGUAGUCAGCUGGCCGGCAGCCAACCUUCUCUUCUUUGGAGGGGGAGGAGCAGUCGUGCGCGCAACAAAGAAGGCGUAAAACCGAAGAGAGCGGCGG
rnacentral:lncRNA from 1 species